rnacentral:rRNA from 1 species
AUGAAGAGUUUGAUCCUGGCUCAGGAUGAACGCUAGCGGCAGGCCUAACACAUGCAAGUCGAACGGUAACAUGUCCUUCGGGAUGAUGACGAGUGGCGCACGGGUGCGUAACGCGUAUGCAAUCUACCUUAUACUGGAGGAUAGCCCGAGGAAACUCGGAUUAAUACUCCAUAGUAUCACGAAAUGGCAUCGUUUUGUGAUUAAAGAUUUAUUGGUAUAAGAUGAGCAUGCGUCUGAUUAGUUAGUUGGUAAGGUAACGGCUUACCAAGACGAUGAUCAGUAGGGGGUCUGAGAGGAUGAUCCCCCACACUGGCACUGAGAUACGGACCAGACUCCUACGGGAGGCAGCAGUAGGGAAUAUUGGUCAAUGGGCGAGAGCCUGAACCAGCCAUGCCGCGUGCAGGAUGACGGCCUUCUGGGUUGUAAACUGCUUUUAUAUGGGAAGAAAAAGGUCUUGCGAGACAAAUUGCCGGUACCAUAUGAAUAAGCACCGGCUAACUCCGUGCCAGCAGCCGCGGUAAUGCGGA